rnacentral:rRNA from 1 species
CCUACGGGAGGCAGCAGUGAGGAAUAUUGGUCAAUGGACGAGAGUCUGAACCAGCCAAGUAGCGUGAAGGAUGACUGCCCUAUGGGUUGUAAACUUCUUUUAUAUGGGAAUAAAAUGUUCCACGUGUGGGUUUUUGUAUGUACCAUAUGAAUAAGGAUCGGCUAACUCCGUGCCAGCAGCCGCGGUAAUACGGAGGAUCCGAGCGUUAUCCGGAUUUAUUGGGUUUAAAGGGAGCGUAGGUGGAUUGUUAAGUCAGUUGUGAAAGUUUGCGGCUCAACCGUAAAAUUGCAGUUGAGACUGGCAGUCUUGAGUACAGUAGAUGUGGGCGGAAUUCGUGGUGUAGCGGUGAAAUGCUUAGAUAUCACGAAGAACUCCGAUUGCGAAGGCAGCUCACUGGACUGCAACUGACACUGAGGCUCGAAAGUGUGGGUAUCAAACAGGAUUAGAUACCCUUGUAGUC